rnacentral:rRNA from 1 species
GAUGAACGCUAGCUACAGGCUUAACACAUGCAAGUCGAGGGGAAACGAUGAGAGAGCUUGCUCUCUUAGGCGUCGACCGGCGCACGGGUGAGUAACGCGUAUCCAACCUACCCAUUACAGGGGGAUAACCUUGCGAAAGUAAGACUAAUACCCCAUGGCAUUUUGUGGUGGCAUCAUUAUAGGUUGAAAGAUUUAUUGGUAAUGGAUGGGGAUGCGUCUGAUUAGCUUGUUGGCGGGGUAACGGCCCACCAAGGCAACGAACAGUAGGGGUUCUGAGAGGAAGCUCCCCCAGAUUGGAACCGCGACACGGUCCACACUGGUACGGGAGGCAGCAGUGAGGAAUAUUGGUCAAUGAGCGAGAGCUUGAACCAGCCAAGUAGCGUGCAGGAUGACGGCCCUAUGGGUUGUAAUCUGCUUUUAAAGAGGAAUAAAGUGAGAUACGUGUAGUGUAUUGAAUGUACCCAAUGAAUAAGGACCGGCUAAUUCCGUG